ACAUGUCUAACUGGUGAACCGGCUCUGAUACCAAAUGUAACGACCCAGCCCACUAGCAACAAUAACUCGUUGGGCCCAACCACUGGCCCAAAAUGCUUAAGCCCAGUUAUUAUUACUAGUGUCUAAGUCUCUUAUAAACCCAAUGACAAUCCCAUUCCCAUCCGAUGUGGGACUAUUGGGGUGUCACAAUAGAUCUUAUUCUAAAUAGUUUAAAAAAUUUUCUAACCAAAAUUCAAUUGAUUUGGAUGGCUUUACACCGUUAAACGAAAAAAUGCCUCAUAUCUAUCAUUAAAAUUACAAAUUUUGAAACCCUUUGAUCAUUAGGUCAAUGAUGUCGAAAUGAUUUGAAAUUUAGUUUCUAGAUACUUUAAGUGGUAUAAAUCAU
rnacentral:lncRNA from 1 species